GACGAACGCUGGCGGCGUGCUUAACACAUGCAAGUCGAACGGAAAGGCCCUGCUUUUGUGGGGUGCUCGAGUGGCGAACGGGUGAGUAACACGUGAGUAACCUGCCCUUGACUUUGGGAUAACUUCAGGAAACUGGGGCUAAUACCGGAUAGGAGCUCCUGCUGCAUGGUGGGGGUUGGAAAGUUUCGGCGGUGGGGGAUGGACUCGCGGCUUAUCAGCUUGUUGGUGGGGUAGUGGCUUACCAAGGCUUUGACGGGUAGCCGGCCUGAGAGGGUGACCGGCCACCUUGGGCCUAAGGUACGGACCAGAAUCCUACGGGAGGCAGCAGUGGGGAAUCUUGCACAGUGGGCGGAAGCCUGAUGCAGCAGCGCCGCGUGCGGGAUGACGGCCUUCGGGUUGUAAACAGAUUUCGAAUGUGACGAAGCGUGAGUGACGGUAAUGGGUAAAGAAGCACCGGCUAACUACGUG
rnacentral:rRNA from 1 species